rnacentral:rRNA from 1 species
AGUGAACGCUGGCGGUAGGCCUAACACAUGCAAGUCGAACGGCAGCACAGUAAGAGCUUGCUCUUACGGGUGGCGAGUGGCGGACGGGUGAGGAAUACAUCGGAAUCUACUUUUUCGUGGGGGAUAACGUAGGGAAACUUACGCUAAUACCGCAUACGACCUACGGGUGAAAGCAGGGGAUCUUCGGACCUUGCGCGAUUGAAUGAGCCGAUGUCGGAUUAGCUAGUUGGCGGGGUAAAGGCCCACCAAGGCGACGAUCCGUAGCUGGUCUGAGGGGAUGAUCAGCCACACUGGAACUGAGACAUGGUCCAGACUCCUACGGGAGGCAGCAGUGGGGAAUAUUGGACAAUGGGCGCAAGCCUGAUCCAGCCAUACCGCGUGGGUGAAGAAGGCCUUCGGGUUGUAAAGCCCUUUUGUUGGGAAAGAAAAGCAGCAGGUUAAUACCCCGCUGUUCUGACGGUACCCAAAGAAUAAGCACCGGCUAACUUCGUG